GAAUAUUGGACAAUGGGCGCAAGCCUGAUCCAGCAAUGCCGCGUGUGUGAAGAAGGCCUUCGGGUUGUAAAGCACUUUUAUCAGGAACGAAAAGCGUGUGGUUAAUAACCGUACGUGCUGACGGUACCUGAGGAAUAAGCACCGGCUAACUUCGUGCCAGCAGCCGCGGUAAUACGAAGGGUGCAAGCGUUAAUCGGAAUUACUGGGCGUAAAGCGUGCGUAGAUGGUUCAUUAAGUCGGAUGUGAAAGCCCCGGGCUCAACCUGGGAACUGCAUCCGAUACUGGUGGACUAGAGUGCGGUAGAGGAUGGCGGAAUUCCCGGUGUAGCGGUGAAAUGCGUAGAGAUCGGGAGGAACAUCCGUGGCGAAGGCGGCCAUCUGGACCAGCACUGACGUUGAGGCACGAAAGCGUGGGGAGCAAAC
rnacentral:rRNA from 1 species